rnacentral:rRNA from 1 species
GAGUGAAGCGGCAACAGCUCAAAUUUGAAAUCUGGCGCUUUUGGUGCCCGAGUUGUAAUUUGCAGAGGAUGCUUUUGGCGACGUGCCUUCCGAGUUCCCUGGAACGGGACGCCAUAGAGGGUGAGAGCCCCGUACGGUCUGGUGCCUAGCCGUUGUAAAGCUCCUUCGACGAGUCGAGUAGUUUGGGAAUGCUGCUCUAAAUGGGAGGUAAACUCCUUCUAAAGCUAAAUAUUGGCCAGAGACCGAUAGCGCACAAGUAGAGUGAUCGAAAGAUGAAAAGCACUUUGAAAAGAGAGUUAAAUAGCACGUGAAAUUGUUGAAAGGGAAGCGCUUGUGACCAGACUUGGGCUUGGUAGUUCAGCCGUCCUUUUGGGCGGUGCAUUCUGCCGGUUCAGGCCAGCAUCAGUUGUCGGUUGGGUAGAAUUGUAGUGGGAAUGUGGCUCUUCGGAGUGUUAUAGCCCGCUACNCAAUGCCCUCCUGGCGACUGAGGUUAGCGUUUUCACGGAUGCUGGCGUAAUGGUUAUCAGCGACCCGUCUUGAAACACGGACCAAGGAGUCGUCCUGCUAUGCGAGUGUUUGGGUGUUAAACCCCUACGCGAAAUGAAAGUGAACGGAGGUGAGAGCUUUGGCGCAUCAUCGACCGAUCCUGAUGUUUUCGGAUGGAUUUGAGUAAGAGCAUAGCGGGCCGGACCCGAAAGAAGGUAAGCAAAAGACCCAAAUAUCCCCUAAUUUUUUAGUGGACGUAUGUACUAACGGUGGCAACCUUAUAGGUGAACUAUGCUUGAAUAGGGCAAAGCCAGAGGAAACUCUGGUGGAGGCUCGCAGCGGUUCUGACGUGCAAAUCGAUCGUCAAAUUUGAGCAUGGGGGCGAAAGACUAAUCGAACCUUCUAGUAGCUGGUUUCUACCGAAGUUUCCCUCAGGAUAGCAGUGUUGAUUCUCAGUUUUAUGAGGUAAAGCGAAUGAUUAGGGACUCGGGGGCGCUAUUUAGCCUUCAUCCAUUCUCAAACUUUAAAUAUGUAAGAAGCCUUUGUUGCUUUAGUGAACGAAGGCAUUAGAAUGUACAACACUAGUGGGCCAUUUUUGGUAAGCAGAACUGGCGAUGCGGGAUGAACCGAUCGCGAGGUUAAGGUGCCGGAGUAGUCGCUCAUCAGACACCACAAAAGGUGUUAUCACAUCUUGACAGCAGGACGGUGGCCAUGGAAGUCGGAAUCCGCUAAGGACUGUGUAACAACUCACCUGCCGAAUGUGAUAGCCCUGAAAAUGGAUGGCGCUCAAGCGACUCACCCAUACCUCGCCCUCAGGGUAGACACUAUGCCCUG